rnacentral:rRNA from 1 species
GGACCCGCACAAGUAGUGGAGCAUGUGGUUUAAUUCGAAGAUACGCGCAGAACCUUACCAACACUUGACAUGUUCGUCGCGACUUUAAGAGAUUAAAGUUUUCGGUUCGGCCGGACGAAACACAGGUGCUGCAUGGCUGUCGUCAGCUCGUGUCGUGAGAUGUUGGUUAAGUCCCGCAACGAGCGCAACCCUCACUUUUUAGUUGCCAUCAUUUAGUUGGGCACUCUGAAAGAACUGCCAGUGAUAAGCUGGAGGAAGGUGGGGAUGACGUCAAGUCCUCAUGGCCCUUACGUGUUGGGCUACACACGUGCUACAAUGGCAUUUACAAUAGGAAGCAAGAUGGCGACGUCAAG